rnacentral:tRNA from 1 species
GCGGGUAUGGCGGAAUUGGCAGACGCGCAGGAUUUAGGUUCCUGUGGAGAGAUCCGUGUGGGUUCGAGGCCCACUACCCGUACCA